AAAACCUUCUUUUUGCCACGUAACAUUAGGUUUCUUCUUCUUUUCACGCUUGCGACCUUCCCCAAUUUGUUUCCAGAAACUUGAAGCGUUUUUCCAAUCUCCGUAACUUCAAUCAACCUCUUCGCAUCUCCCUUCACUACUCCUAUUUAAAACAGUUUGUCCAAUCUUUCAUGCGAUCAGAAUCGCAUUCCUCUAUAGGAGAAGAAGAUAAAGUCAUCGCCAUGAAAUUUGUUAGAUCCACCGGAAAAUCUUGAAUUUCUACGGUUCCAAAAGCAAAGAGAUUUAUCAGGGAUAAGAUCCGAAGGAAUGUUAGUUUAGAAGCGUAACCCGUGUUUCGAUCCUGUCGGAGCUCCACCGCGACCACCGAGGACCAUAGUCAAAAGCGUAACCCGCGUUCAAUCCUGUCGGAGCUCCACCGCGACCACCGAGGACCAUAGUCAAAAGCGUAACCCGUGUUUCGAUCCUGUCGGAGCUCCACCGCGACCACCGAAGACCAUAGUCAAAAUUUCAUUCGCUGCAGAAGGGUAAGUGACAAUCACUUCUAGGGCACCAUCUCAGAAUGUACUGCCAAGUGGUUUCGGCUUAAAAAUCUGUAAGAUAAUGAACAAUUUCAACUGAUUAGCAAAAGGAAACUGAAGCAUGACUCAUGUUUAGAGCUAUAUAUUUUUUUAUAUGACUGGACUUGAAGUUCUCAACCUUCCACCUGAUAUCCAAGAGAUCCUACAACACUUGGGAACUAUUCAGUGACUCCAAAAUCAUACAUGGGGAAACUAUCCGAGCAUAAGUUUGGGGCAUGCGACUGGUACAGUGAUGCGUCCUCCAGGAUAUGCACAUUCUUGGUGUUCAUUCUCUUCUUAUUAUUUUGAUAGAAGGGAACUGGCGGCUUUUCCUUUAUUAGUGCCGGUGGCCGAAAAUCCUUCUAGCUAUGGUUGUGAAGUUGAUCAGCCUUUUAGAUAAGAUUGUGACAGGUGCUCAGAUGGGAGUUAUCAGUCUCAUAAUGAGAGGUAAGUAUAUCUUUCCCAUGAUUGAAUUGCAAAACCCUCCUGCAGGGUCCUAUUCUUUGAGGGAAAAUAUAUAUGGGCCCUUGAUCUCCGGUUGGCUUCUCUAACUGCAAUCAGGAAUUGGUCAGUUCACUUACAGAAUGUGUUCUUUAAUGUAUAAGUGGAAAAUUUCAGCCAAAGCCGAGAAAUGAUUAACGCCUUAUUCCUGCCACCGAUCCUAACGCACGUACGGCAACGAAAGAUAAUUCAAAACUUUCUAAACAGCUGACCGUGUUAUUAACCACUACGAUCGGAGGGACUGGCAAACAACAUGUAGUCUUUUGGCUCAAGCCAACUAAUAUGUCCCUUAUGGCUUGAGGUAUAAAAAUAGGAGAGAAUGAUGAAAAGAUCUUCAUUGGUCACAAGAUGAGACAGAGUUUCUUUGAUAUCACUAACUCUCAAACUCAAAGAGGAGCUUAAUUUUCAAGAAACAUGUUUAGCGGCAAGUAAGGUUGACAUCUCAUUCUGGGUUUGUAUAAAAAUAGGAGAGAAUGAUGAAAAGAUCUUCAUUGGUCACAAGAUGAGACAGAGUUUCUUUGAUAUCACUAACUCUGAAACUCAAAGAGGAGCUUAAUUUUCAAGAAACAUGUUUAGCGGCAAGUAAGGUUGACAUCUCAUUCUGGGUUUGUAAGUCUCUAACUUGCGAUCUCAUUGUCUUAAAUUAAUUACUAGAUUUGAUUUUGGUUUUAUUUGAGAUCAUGAGAUGUAAAAGUAUUUUCUUUAAUCAAUAAAAAAUGUAAAACAAUUGAGCUAAGCAUAUACGAGUUGUACAUGGAGGAAUACACAGUUUGCACACAUAUCUUGGUUUAAUUUAGGGUCCUGUGCACCAAAGAAAACCAUUUAUUUUUCUACAGGAGAUAAAAUUUUCUAGAAACAAGGUGCAACCAGAACUUACUACUCCUUGCUCACAUGUUGUGUCAGUUCUUCACUUCUUUGUUUAACAAUGGAUAUGUUUCAGGUGAAAACUUUGCACCACGAGGUUACUUGCAAAAAUGCUUUGCUUAAGGCCAAGUGUUCUGAAUAAGAGAUUUGGUUUCUUUCCUGUAAUUUUUAAAUCAUCUUCUGAACUUAUAUAUUAACCAACAAGUUGUAGACUCUUAUAAAUCAUGUUUAGGUAUUGCUUUUACUUUUAACUUACGUCUGUAAUUCAAACUAAAGUUGGAUGUUUCUGAUAUUAUUCACUACUACAGCAGCAGGCUUAGUUACUAAUAUUAGUUAACAUUAGUGAAAGUUCAUACUAGGUAGAAAUUGUAAUGUUAAUGUGUUUGCAUUUGAGUCGUUGGACUGCAUGUGGACAGCUGUUUUAGGACGAAAGAAGACCCUCAGUUAUACUAUGCACCAACGAAGCCUUUGGAAGAAGGAACAUCUGAGGCAGAACAACGUAAAGAGAAGUUAAGUGUACUUUUGUGAAUGAAUGUUUUACAUAAAUGCUAUGCGGUAUUGAUAUGUGAUUGUUGAGAUGUUGGCGCAUACAUUCUUAGAAUGGAAGUAAGUCAUGAAACAAGAAGUGAGUAUCAAAAGGAGAUAGAAGAGCCGUAUAUGGGUAAUGUUGAGAAAGAGCGAAAGGUGGCAAACAAUUCGAAGCCUAACAGCGGAAACAAAGGGAUGAAGAUUGUGAUGGUAACUAUACAUGAAAAACAUGAAGUCAGACUGUUUCUUUUCUUUUUAUUAUGUCAUCCUUUGUUUCUGAUUAUUAAAUGAGAACUAAAAGAUUUAAAAUCUGGAAAGCAUGAAGUUCUCAGUGUUCACGGUCACAUUUUCUUAUCUGAGAAACAGCCUGGAAAUUUGUUGGAGGGAUUUACAAGGACUCAGGGGGUUUGGACGUCAUAAAAAGAAAGAUUACAUCGGCUGAAACAACAAAAGUGACAAGGGCAGAGGAAGAAGAAGAUUCUUGGAAUAAAUAUUCGAGUCGUAAAAUUAUUUUAUCUUGCUGGAAAUAUUUUGUUUCAUACUGAAUGCUACUUUAAAAGUUACACUGUUGACAUGUUUUCAAUGAUUUAAAAAAUAUAUAUAUGUUUCUCUAAAGAAAAACAUAAACAAAAGAAAAACAUAAACACUUCAUCUCGA